rnacentral:rRNA from 1 species
CGGACGGGUGAGUAACNCGUGGAAAACCUGCCGUAUACUGGGGGAUAACACUUAGAAAUAGGUGCUAAUACCGCAUAAGCGCACAGCUUCGCAUGAAGCGGUGUGAAAAACUCUGGUGGUAUACGAUGGUUCCGCGUCUGAUUAGCUAGUUGGUGGGGUAAUGGCCUACCAAGGCAACGAUCAGUAGCCGGCCUGAGAGGGUGAACGGCCACAUUGGGACUGAGACACGGCCCAAACUCCUACGGGAGGCAGCAG